rnacentral:rRNA from 1 species
AUUGAACGCUGGCGGCAUGCCUUACACAUGCAAGUCGAACGGUAACAGGUCUUCGGAUGCUGACGAGUGGCGAACGGGUGAGUAAUACAUCGGAACGUGCCUAGUAGUGGGGGAUAACUACUCGAAAGAGUGGCUAAUACCGCAUGAGAUCUACGGAUGAAAGCAGGGGAUCGCAAGACCUUGUGCUACUAGAGCGGCCGAUGGCAGAUUAGGUAGUUGGUGGGAUAAAAGCUUACCAAGCCGACGAUCUGUAGCUGGUCUGAGAGGACGAUCAGCCACACUGGGACUGAGACGCGGCCCAGACUCCUACGGGAGGCAGCAGUGGGGAAUUUCGGACAAUGGGCGCAAGCCUGAUCCAGCAAUGCCGCGUGCAGGAUGAAGGCCUUCGGGUUGUAAACUGCUUUUGUACGGAACGAAAAGCCCUGGGUUAAUACCCUGGGGUCAUGACAGUACCGUAAGAAUAAGCACCGGCUAACUACGUGCCAGCCGCCGCGGUAA